AAUGAACGCUGGCGGCAGGCCUAACACAUGCAAGUCGAACGAAGUCUUCGGACUUAGUGGCGGACGGGUGAGUAACACGUGGGAACGUACCUUUUGGUUCGGAACAACUCAGGGAAACUUGAGCUAAUACCGGAUGAGCCCUUAGGGGGAAAGAUUUAUCGCCGAAAGAGCGGCCCGCGUUAGAUUAGCUAGUUGGUGAGGUAAAGGCUCACCAAGGCUACGAUCUAUAGCUGGUCUGAGAGGAUGAUCAGCCACGCUGGGACUGAGACACGGCCCAGACUCCUACGGGAGGCAGCAGUGGGGAAUCUUGCGCAAUGGGCGAAAGCCUGACGCAGCCAUGCCGCGUGAAUGAUGAAGGUCUUAGGAUUGUAAAAUUCUUUUACCAGGGACGAUAAUGACGGUACCUGGAGAAAAAGCCCCGGCUAACUUCGUGCCAGCCGCCGCCGUAACAC
rnacentral:rRNA from 1 species